UGCUUUCUUUUAUUUUUCUUUUUAUACAAAAUACUCUCUAUCUCUUUUUAGCAAAAAUAUAUUUCAACUAAAAGAUGGCUUUCAAGAAUGCUCUUUUGAUCCUUGCAAUUUUAGCCGUGAUUGUUCUAAUCCCUUCCGAGAUUCUAGCUCGGGACUUACCAGCAACAGGAUGUACCCCAGGAACAGGUUUGUUUUAGCAUUUAUAAAUACAAUUUCGCUAUGUUACCAACAAUAUUUCUGCCAACUUCUGCCAACUCUUAUUUAUGACUAUAUUUAAUGGAAAUGUCUUUAUGGAUGUGUCUAAUAAAAAUGUCUUUUUUAUGGCUGUAUCUAAUAGAAGUGUCUUUAUAGAUGUAUUUUCUGGAUGUGUUUCUUUAUACAUGUGUUUAAAAUAUAAUAAUUAAUUAUUGUUGGUAAUAAGUUGGCAGAUAGUAUAUUGGUAUCCUAUACUUUUCCUUAUAAAUAAGACAUAAAAAACAUUGUUUAUAAAAGGCUUUUACUUAUUAACUCUAAAUUCCCCUUUUUGAAUUAUGUUCAAAAGUGAAGAAAAACAUGUAUUUCAUUAUUUCAUUAUCAAGUAUCUAUAUUUAUAACAUAUGAUAUUUUCUUUUCAAGUAUGAUUGUAUUUCUCAUGUUAUAAAUUACAAAUUAUAAUUCAACAUGUUUCCAAACUUCCAUAUUCCUAAAAAUGUAUUAUUGUCUGCUUGCAGUUUAUAAAAUAGAAGGAAUACGUCAAAUUGCUGGACCAGUUGGGUUAGGAAAAGAUGGUAAUGACUUGGAUGGUGGAAACUACGACAUUCAAUGUCGCAAUCUUUGUUGUGUGCUGGGAUACACUGUAUGUUGCUAAUAGCAUACAAGUGAAAGACGUUAAUUUGUUACAUCUUUGCUAUGUUAAAUCUUGAAACUAGUAUAUGAGAAUAAAGGAAUAAAAUGUAUACCAUAAGCCUACACUUUAAUUUGGCAUACCAUAGGUUGAAUAAUAAUCAAUAGCUAUAUACAUAGCUUGCAAAAAUUUUGUAACUGGACCUAUCAGAGUUGCAUAAAUAAUAUUUUUCUUUUAUCCAA
rnacentral:lncRNA from 1 species